GUGGUUACUUGGUUGGCACAUAUACUAAAGUUGAAGUGAUACAGAAAAUGUUAGCGUGGUCACUACACAAGGAUAACAGGCAUGUUUGUAAAGCAGUUAUAGUUUUG